GAUGAACGCUGGCGGCGUGCCUAAUACAUGCAAGUCGAACGAAACUUCUUUUUCACCGAGUGCUUGCACUCACCGAUAAAGAGUUGAGUGGCGAACGGGUGAGUAACACGUGGGCAACCUGCCCAAAAGAGGGGGAUAACACUUGGAAACAGGUGCUAAUACCGCAUAACCAUAGUUACCGCAUGGUAACUAUGUAAAAGGUGGCUAUACUACCGCCUUUGGAUGGGCCGGGGGCGCAUUAGCUAGUUGGUAGGGUAAAGGCUUACCAAGGCAAUGGUGCGAGGCGAAGUGAGCGGGUUAGCGGCCAAAUUGGGACGGGAAAACGGGCCCAACCCCUAGGGGAGGGAACAGUAGGGAAUCCUCCGCAAUGGGGGCAAGCCUGGUGGAGGAAAGCCGGGUGAGGGAAGAAAGUUCUUCGAUAGUAAAAACCCGGUUUUUGGGAAGAAAAAUGGGGAAAGUUACUAUGACAGUUUUGGCGGUAAUUUACCAGAAAGCCCCGGGGAACAAAGGG
rnacentral:rRNA from 1 species